GUGUGUACACAUAUAAACUGCAGAACACAUGAAGCUGGGUGAGAGGGAAACAACCCAGGAUAUCUCUGGAAACAAUAUUCUCACUACCAGAUUUACGAGCAGAUUCUUCUCACCAUCCUACUGUGAAGAGGGAAGGGAGCAAGGAGCUGCAUGGUACUUAGCAUCCAGCUGGGCUUAAAUCAUGACACUAGAGCUCUGUGGAAAUGCUGGCAUUGCGAUACGGACACCAAAAAUGAGAUGUAUACAUAUGCUGCACUGGAUAGCUGCCUGGAUAGCAAGAAACUGGGAAGAGUGUUGGGAUGACCCCAUCACCAGACACUACCUCAUGGAUGGCAUGGAAACAGGAAAAGAACAGCAUGGCAAGUUGCCUGUAUCCAACACAGCUCUGAAACUCAAGCCAGCUAUCAUCUUCUUUCAGAUGUAGAAGCCUUCUUUUUAGUAGUAACUAUUGAAAUACCAGCACUAAGUGUUCUGUUACUCUUCUCAAUAAGGUAAAACAUGCACUCCAUUCUCAAAUUUACUUGCAAAAAUAAAUCAUCUAUUCUGGGAAAGCCUAUCCAUAUAAUUAUAAAUUUUUACACUGUCACAAUAUUGUGUAUUGACCAUGACUGUUCAUUUAGCAUAUUUUUCAUUCUCUGAAUUGCUUUUUUGGCCAUCUCACAGCUCUGUGAGAGUUUUUCUGAGUUGACACAGUACUCAAACUGGUAAAUCUCAGUAAUAUUCUUCUGAGUAAAUAUGUCCAUCAGAUUAGACCCGGUCAUUAACAGUCAGCAACUUUGGCAGCCUGCAAGCUAGUUUCAUAGCAGUAAUCACUGUUUCUAAUUUGUGUUUGGUACAGUUUCCAGACUGUAAAUUAACUUGUCAGAUUCAAAUGCUUCCCUAGUCUUUGUGACCCUUUCUGAUACACUUUGAGAAAUUGUUUCCAUGUCUACUAUCUCUUCUGACAGCGAGUUGAAGCAAGUCCCCCUUUCCAAGCACAAUAUGUCCCUUUUUUCCCCCACAUUUCUUGCAAAAGUUAAUUUUCUGCUGUAGAUUUCAUUGAGCAUGAAAAUAGUUUAUGAAAGUGCUUUCUCUGAUCCUAUUUUUGGUAAACUACUUUGAAAAGUCCAAGAUCAAAUUUUCAGCAAUGGUGAUCUUCAGGUUUCUGUGAUUUCAAGCUCACCUGCAUACAAAUGAAAUGCAGCCAUCCUUCCUUCACCCUCAUUAUUAUUUUUUUAUCUUCUUCCCCCACCUCAGUGCAGGUACAGGAGAUGUAUGUUGCUGUUAAUACUUUAAAAAAAAAAAAAAGCACUCUUAAUUUCUGAGUGCCAGACUUAUGCCAACUUGAGACCCCAAAAUUUAUGCUGCAUUUUAAAAUUUUGGCCCAAAUAUAACAGGCAUAAAAAGCUAAAAGCAUCAGAAUAACCAAUCCAUAUUGUAAGCAUUGCCAGGGUUACUUCUUGCUCUGCAGCAUCACAAGUGGACUAUGAAAAUAAAGUCAGAGGCUCAGUCAGAUCAUACAGAGCUCUUUGCCAGCAUCACAGAAGCAAAGAUGGAUUGAGGUAAAGAAAUAGAGAAGGUUUAACUUAGGUUUUUCACAGUAUAGAAGAGUGUUUUAUCAUGUGGUGCUUGGUGUGAUGCAGGGUGCAGUCAGACAAGACAGAUUUAACCGGUCUAAUGGCUUGCUGCUUCUGAAAGGCCACUGCUCUGAGCCAGCUCUGGUGCUCAUGCUGCCCCUCAGUGUGCAAAUUCCAUCCCUUAAUCCAGCACAAAAAGGAAACAAGACAGACAUUUCCUUUGUAUUGGUGAAUUGUAUUUUCUCACAGAAAAAAAUAUGAUCAAGACUACUCAAGUAUGCCAAGGGAGAGAGUACAUAGAUAGAUCAGGGAUGGAUGGAGGAGGUGGGGGAAGAAGUCUUUCCCUUCUUUUAUCUGAGAACUCCUAUGUCAGUUCACCGGUUUCACUUGUAGGCCCUUUCAAAGGAUGCUGACAUACCACAUUUGUACUAUCUGUGCUGAGAGCAUUUAUAAAGCACCCAGGAACUUGGGAUGGAAUACAAUGAUAGCAUAAAUUAGAUGAGACAGAUUAAUUAUUCUUAAUCCCUAAAUUAUUUUUAUGGAAAUCCUGGGAGUCCAAAAGUUGGAAAGAGUGGUGUUAUUUAUUUAUUACAAGUUUCAUCUCAGCAUCAAUGGUAAUUUUUACCAUUGAUGGCAAGGAAAGUUUGCCUCCUUGGCAAGUUAAGUUUGCCAGGUUUUUAUGCUAAAGAUAGAGGCUCAGGACUACCAAGAACAGAGCAAUGUUCCUUAUUCUGUACCAUGCUAUUCCCUACCUUGAAUAGUACUCAGAGGCACAGCUGCCUCUGGACUACAUGGGGCUUUUCCCCGGCACUGCAGAGACAAAGUGGUGACCAGCACUAUCCCAGGAAAAGCAAAGACCUAUGGGCUCCCAGGAGUCACACAGGAGAGCUGUGAACAGUCCAAGUGCACCAUAUUUGAAACAGUGGUGACUCAGCCUGAUGAAAUGUGUAUUCUGAUUCAUCUCAUCCAAAAGCAAACAACUAAAUUAGGUCACAUGAACAGCCCUUAAAGUGCCUGUUUCUCUCCAGUACUAGAAGGGAGCAAAUGUUGUCUAAUUCAGAUGCAUCCAAAACAUCUAAUCCGUAGAAAUCUAGAAUCAGCUAAAAUGAAUCCCACUUUGGGCAAUAGUUUGGUGAAAGAACAACAGUAAAAAUUGAACAUAAAGUUUAGGUGGUUUCCUAUGAUAAAACGGUCACAUUUUGUUUAAAGGAGAAUAUAACUCCCCAUUUCUAUACACAAAGAUUUUCUAGGAAAUAAAUGUCAAAAAGAGCAAGCAUUGUCCUAUAACUUCUUCAGGCAGCCCAGGGGCAAAGUCCAGAAACAGGCCUGUAAACUAGUAAAGAAAUGGGAGUUCUGCUUAAUAACCCAGAAGGGAAAACAAACCCUCUAGGAAAAAAAAAUGUUUCAUAUGGUUUGUUUGGGUUUUCUGAGUGCUUUACAACUUCCAGAGAUAUUAACAUUAUAUUAAUUUUCCCACAUGGAAUUCUGCCUCCUACACUCGGGUUUAUUUAGAACCAAUGAAUUUUGUCAAGAUAAUGGGGCCCCUAAUGCAUUGGACAAAUGCAUAUUAACUAUUGUGUGUAAGAAAUAAUUCAAAAAAGAAAAAGAAAAUUAAGAAAAAAUUCUGGGAUUAUAUGAGUUAAAGAAACACAUAUCAAGCUUCAAUAUUACAUUUUUUCCCCCUAUAUUACAAUGGUUAGGACAUUUCAGAGAAUAAAUAAAAACUCUUAUGAAGAGACACCUAUCUAAAUAUCUGGUCCAUAAAUACAUGACUUCAGUACAAUUUCCUGAGUUAUUUUCCAUUGAAUUCAGCUACUGCCAUGACAAUUUCUCCUGCUCUGCUCAUAUCUUUCUAAUUCAAGAUAAUACAAUACUGGGUGAGAAGGAAUUGGGACAUCCUGUUCUCUUUAGAAUCAGAGGAGGCAAUGAGACAUGGGGAGUUUCGUACCUCCAUGCAAAUUAGAUGCCACAGAGAGAAGUAGGUAACCCAGACAGACUUCCUGUAUAGAGCAGGUCCUUACCUUUCCCUUCAGAAAUUCAAACUAAACUAAUUUUGAGAACUAUCACCGUCUCUGCCACCCAUGCCUGGAAGAUUUCUUUGAUCAUGAAGAAAAGAUAGCAGAGACAUGCAAUUCUGAAAAUAAACCACCUUAUUUCAGUUUCAAAAUAAUUUGACAGGUGGUACCCACACUUGGCCCCUAUGGUACACCCCGUAAUAGGAGAUCUGCUUUGUAGCUCAGCAGUGGUUAAAUAUUCAGUCAAUUCAGUACUGAAAGGGCAGUUUUUGGAAAUUUCUCAUUUGCCUUCUCAUUGAAGGUCAUGACUUUCCUACUUUUAAUAUAAACUAUUGGCAGACUUAUAUAAGAAAAUUACCACACUAAUUCAAAUUUGAGUUGUACUUGGAGGAUUAUUUCUUAUUACUUUUCACUUAUGAGAUUUCUCGGGAAGAAAGCAAUGCAAGACCAAUGGCAUUGAACCCGCACUGGGUUAAACAGUUAAAAACAAAACAAACCCAAAAAUGUGGUGGUUUUCUUUUAAAAUGAAAUUAUUAAUGAAACUUGCAAAACAAGACUGCUAGAAUUCUAUUCUGACCCUCUACAAAAUGAUGAACCACAAGCAGGCUGGCACAUGGUGAAAAUCCCGGGUGUAUCUGUACCAAAGUGGCCAUUUCACAUCCCUUCUUCUCACUGACAUAUAUUUACAAAUUCAAGUAACAGAAAAGGUAAAACUAAGGCUUGACUGAUGAGCUCUUUAAGGUGAUCUUGUCUAGGUGCCAAUGAAUGCACAUAAAAAUUGUCUCUACCCAUGCAAAAAGUUUUGCACUAAAUGGAGAAUAGGCCAAUAUCACUUCAAAUGAAUAGAACACCAUGACCGAUCCUAAAAUUUUUUUCUAAGAACUGUAAUUGUGGCUUUUCCAUCCAUUACUGAUAGUAGUUUUGGCAGUCUGAAAGCAAUAAAACAAUGUUAAAAAAUACUCGAAAAAUAACACUAUCUCAGAAAAGGGUAAAUUUUAUCUGCCUUUUACAGAAACAAAGACUUAAGUAUUAUAUGUGGUAAAAGUUAAUGAUAUUAAAAACUGGUGGCAAAGUAAACUACUCUUGUUUAAAAUUGUAAACUGAGGUAUGAUCAUUUUGAAAAGGCAAAUGAAUAUAUUGUUUGAAUACAACAAAACAGUGAGGAAUGGAGACAUGAAUAAACAACAGGGAACCAAAAGCCAAUUCAAGGGCAGAGAAAGAAGAACACAAUGAUCUGCAUUUCUGCUGUGUCUCUGAGCAACAGCACUCAGAAAAAGCAGGUCAGCUCACCAGGUGGUAGGCUGUGCAACUGUUUGAUGCUGAACCCUCCUGAGGAUGCUCUUUCUGUGUAACACACAUGUCCAAGGAACAGUAUUGUGUUAAAGCCAGUAAGCAUCACAAAAAUUCAUUUUCUUUAAUGAGAGGACAAAAUGAGCCAAUCUUUCUGGGACACUUUCUCAAAAAAUCGUCUCCUGUUACAUUAAAAAACACCAAAAACUGACCCAUCUCUGAACACAUAUUCCUGUGAACAUCACUGCUUUUUCACUGGAAAUGUGGAAAACUUCCCUCAACACUUCACCUUCACCUCAAACGUUUUCAGACAGCAUAUACAAAACCAGCAUCUGAGCCAUUGAAGGCUUUGCAAAGGUUUUUUCUCCAUCACUUUGGUGCCUUAUCUUCUCAGGUUUCCACUUCUACGUUAAGACCCCUAUAAUUCACACUCUUCUUAUCUCAAUGCCAUACUCCGGGUAUUCUUUUGAGAGUGCUUAAUAUUAUUACACAAUUCUUUGAAGUAUUUAUCCCCCAAAACUGACCAUGUACUCUUCCACACCUUAUUCUAGGUAGGUUGUAUCAUUUCUAUACCAGAAUAACAGACUUCUUUACCAUCUUUCUACUCAAAUCCAUUUACUCAUAAAAAGUUCAUCCUAUAGAGAAAACAAACAAACAAACAAACCAGAAACCAAGAGAAGCAACACGAACCCCAAAUGGUCAGAGACAGAGAGGUUUUUAUUUUCUUUAUAGAAUGAAAACCAAAUUAUGGAACCACAAUGGUAUAAAUACAGCCUUACUUGUUAUCAGUUUUAGUCUAUCUUUCUGUGCUUUGCCUAAGUCAAUAAAAUUGGUUUGAGCAUAGGAACAGAAUUUGAAAAAUUUAAUCCACAUAUUUAUCUAGAUAUAAUAGGUAUAAUGCAAUGCUUAGAUAUACUUUUUUAAAACACUAUUUAUCUUAUUUCAGGGUAGAAAGUGUAUCUACUCCUCAAAAUCCCUGACUCCAGCUAUUGUGUAAAUGCGCAGAGUUGGCCUGCCUUUUACAUCUCUGUUUAAAUAAUCCCAGAUGACCUCCAGUUUUACUGCAAAUUAAAUAUUUAUACUUGCAGGCAUUUACACAUUCACACGAAAUAAGAAACAGAGAACUGGAGUAAAAUUCCUGUGACAGCCUUAUAGAAGGCAAU